AUUCAGCCCCCUAAGUACUGCCUCUUUUGCAGUUUUGGUCCCCCAGACCAAUUUUGACCAAAUCAAUGCUGACGUGGACGCCACAUGUGUAAUUUUUUUUAAUUAUUAAAAUAUAAUAAAAAAUUAAAAUAACUAUUUUUUUAUUUUUUUAAUUAAAAAUAUAAAAAUAUAUUUAUAAAAAAUAAAAAAUUACACAUGUGGCGUUCACGUCAACAUUGACUUGGUCAAAAUUGAUCUGGGGGACCAAAACUGCAAUAGGGGCGGUACUUAGGGGGCUGGAU
rfam:Medicago truncatula strain A17 chromosome 3, whole genome shotgun sequence.